CUGCAAAAUAACCCCGUAAGUUCGCGAGAAGGGGCGCCUAUUUUUAAUAGGCCACAGAAAAUAGGGGGGGCAACUGUUUAUCAAAAACACAGCUCUCUGCUAAGUUGUAAAACGACGUAUAGAGGGUGAAGCCUGCCCAGUGCCCGAAGGUUAAACGGAGAUGUUAGCUUACGCAAAGCAUUAAAGUGAAGCCCGGGUGAGCGGCGGGCGUGACAGUAACGGUCCUAAGGUA
rnacentral:rRNA from 1 species